CCAUGACAAGUUCUUAUUCAACAUGACUUGCAGGGACAAAUUGUCGGAGUCGAGUACUAUUCGGAAUGUUAUUACGUCUGCACGAAGCCAAAAAGAAGACAACACAACCUUCCAGACGGAACCCAAUGUCUGGGAAUGUACAAUGCUGGCGGCUCUAUUCACCCGUAUAUGGUCUCAUAUAAAGGCACCUGCAGAAACGGGAGAUGCGCCUGAUGAAAGAAAAUGUGAAACGGCGGGCUGCUUUCCUUCUUGCCCGUGCCGCUCGUCUCUUCAGUCUUGACUCGUGUACUGGUGGUGGUGCUGUGGGUGGCUCACUGUCUCCUUACUUCACGCUAAUAUUCGAAAUAACUUACGGCUAGGGGUUUUUCUCAAUAAAGACGUGCACUGUUGUUAAAUCUUA